UGAAGAGUGGGGUGUAUCUAGGUUUGAGAAUCAGAUUUAAACACAUAAUCACCAUCUAAAUUUUAGGUGCAUGCUAAGGAUCUAAAUUAUCUGUUGCAUCUGGUCCACAAAGCCAUUUUGACUUACUGCUUUGCUUUUUUUCUUCAGUCUGUUCUGUUCCACCUCUUUUCUUUCCGUCUAGGAUGGAAUACUACAAGGACUGAGGAAAAUCCUUAGAUCUCUGCACACAUGCUAAGUUACUGUUUGAAAUCAAAGAUGUCUGCAUGCUCUUGCAGAACUAGGUCUCUACAUUGCAUUAAUUUUAUGUCAUCACUUCAAAUUUAUUAGUUAGAAUAUAUGUGCCAUAGGUUAAAUUGCUAUAUCAACAUAUGAUUGCAUGGCUGAAGAGUGCUUUCACUUCUAGUGGUUUUAAGGUGGCCUCAUUUGUUGCAAUACUACAGGAAUGUGAGGCUUUUAAAGGGGGAACUCUCAAAGGGUUUGAGCCAUAUGAAACCAUAACCAGGUAUCUACUCAAACUAACAUCAAGACUUCUCUGUAAGCUUAAUAGUGUAAAUUCAGGUGCUCUAAACCAGGUAAUGCAUUGCUGAUUACCUGAAAAUCCUUUGUAGACUCUCAGACAGGCCUUCAUGGGAGAUAGUGCCAGGCAAGUACUAAUCUGAGGGCAGAGGGAAGUCACAUAUAAGUUCCUGGAGUAAAAUACAGGAAUGUUGAAUACAGAACUAAGGAAAGAUGAGAUGAGGGAAUACCCCAAGUGUGAUUAGUGGUGUUUUUGCAUUCAUGUGUAUAUGUAGAGAGAGGAUAAGAGAGAAAGACCGAUGCAGAGUGAGAAGCAAGAACGUGAUGUCACCAGUGAAGGUAAAAGCACAAGAUGUGUGAUAUUGUUAGCAUUCUCGGAAGAGUUUUCUCCCAGAUCAUCAGUUUGCAACAUAUACAAAACCUUGUUCACACUGAAAUAAACUGAAUAUUCACACUGCUGUUAUGGUGGUCAGCAAGCAUUUGUGCUCACACUGACCCUGAUACGCUGCAGAAAAGCACCUUAGGAAGUGAGUGGGAAGAUGAGCGUGCAAAAUAUUUGGAAGAUGAAUAACUGAGCAUGGAAAAAGUGUCUUGGAGAGUAAUAGUUCUUCCCUCCUCCUGAAAUGUGUUUCCCAUGACCAGCAAAAAUAAUGACAAGCUAUGAUUCCUCUGUGUUUCAUCAACAAGACUUGGACAUUUUGUUGUAGGGUGCAUUAUUAGAAAAUAGGUUAUUUAGAUUUUUCAGCAGAUGUCUAGUAAAAAUAGAAUAAAAAAUCUAAUCAGCAAAUCUUGGGAGAUACCAUGAAAUAGAACCCCCUUCUAUUUCACUGCACAGGAAGUGAAAGUGCAGGAGUUUUUUUGUUUUCUUUUGCUGCCUUGCUUUAACCAGUUUUGCUUUUCAUUAUUUAAUACACAGUUUUUACUAUGCAAAGCAGAAUGUAUUCCUAAUUAUCUCAGUGUAAUCAUGUAAAAAGUCAUGAACACAUUAUCAUCUUUAAAUCUGUUUGUUAUAAUGUUUGUUAAAGUGAGUUGUUAACAACCUAGUUGUUAAA